UUAUCGUCUCUAACGUUCGAGGACUACAAAAAACACUUGGAUUGUAGGCAACAGUUUACUUCCUGGGAUUAGUGACGUAGAUAAGACCAACAUUAUCAUAGUUCAGCCCUCUCUGCUUUGCUUGGGUACGCCCUCAAAGACGAGGGUGGGGAGCGCCGAGUCAGAAGAGAGCUAAAAUGGCGGAGGUUGGGAGUCCCUGCUUUGACUCUGUUUGCAAACUCUUGUUUCAUCGUUUAAACGAUUAAAUCUCUCGAGUAGACGCUGUCUCUUUAGAUGCGAGGGCAAAAUAGCACUUUAUGGACUUCCACAGAGGACAUCAUGUUUAAUACGGUUCCGGAAAAAUCCAGUCAGAAGUUGUUCACGGAGUUUUCACAAUAACUGCUUCUCAUGAACCGAAGCUGGACGUCUCCUCCUGAAAGUUGGAUUACUGUGCACUUCUGGAUCACAGGCUAUUCGCAGCUGGACACAUCCUUCUACACUGUAUGCAAACAUGCAACAUCAUAACACACAGUACAAGGAGUCAGACUGGCAUAUGAGGAGCAAAGGAACCCACGCAGUAGCAUCGUUUCACAAUGUUUCCAUCACCAUCAUCAGUGGAUGCCUUUGCCAUCCGUAGCCUGAGAUUUCAGAUUUGCAGCAAAAAAAAUUGAUUUUCUCAUUUAUUGGAAUGCUAUGCAGGUUGUACCUUGCAGCCAUCCAUUACAAUGUCACCAAGCCGUAACAAAAGCAGGAGAGGGAAAGUACCAGGCUAUGUUCCCAAAACACAAAUGACAUACCUUAUGUGGAUGAUGUGAUCAGGCUUGUGUUUGAUGAGGUAUUUGAAGAUAAGCUGAAGGAAACCCCGAUUCCAAUGGACCUGGCAUCACAGUUUCAGAGACCUUCAAAGGAGGACGUGAUUGCAUGCCAUCUUUAGUGCAGGGGUCGUCGAAAGCCAAAAUUGUGACCGAUCUGAUCAGGAAGCUCCAAGCAUAUCUAGAGAACAACACACGACAGGAUGAUAACCUUAUAGUGUCGUCUUAGAUAGCACCAGCUGACAAAGCUUUGAUAUGCCAUUUAUCUGAAUAGAUAGCUGUAAGAAAUGAAUUGAACAAUUUUUGAAAGAAGAGCA